AUGAGUGCCUUAAAAGUCCAGGAAUUUGUACUCAUGGUGUUUGUUACAACUUUGAUGGUGGGUUCAGUUGCUCCUGUCAAACCGGAUACACAGGGCCUCUUUGUGAUGCAGAUAUUAACGAAUGUAAAGAAAAUCAGCCAUGUCAGAAUGGAGGAAACUGUAUCAACACUGAGGGAUCGUUCUUCUGUAAUUGUACAUCUAAUUGGACGGGAGCUGUCUGUAGUGAAGAUAUAAAUGAGUGCCUUAAAAGUCCAGGAAUUUGUACUCAUGGUGUUUGUUACAACUUUGAUGGUGGGUUCAGUUGCUCCUGUCAAACCGGAUACACAGGGCCUCUUUGUGAUACAGAUAUAAACGAAUGUAAAGAAAAUCAGCCAUGUCAGAAUGGAGGAAACUGUACCAACACUGAGGGAUCUUUCUUCUGUAAUUGUACAUCUAAUUGGACAGGAGUUGUCUGUAGUGAAGAUAUCGAUGAGUGUCGACAAAAUUCUAGUAUCUGUAACCAUGGUGUUUGUUACAACUUUAACGGUGGAUUUAAUUGUGUCUGUCACAUCGG